rnacentral:rRNA from 1 species
CCUACGGUGGGCAGCAGUGAGGAAUAUUGGUCAAUGGCCGAGAGGCUGAACCAGCCAAGUCGCGUGAGGGACGACGGUCCCACGGGUUGUAAACCUCUUUUGUCAGGGAGCAAAGUGAGCCACGAGUGCCUGACCGAGAGUACCUGAAGAAAAAGCAUCGGCUAACUCCGUGCCAGCAGCCGCGGUAAUACGGAGGAUGCGAGCGUUAUCCGGAUUUAUUGGGUUUAAAGGGUGCGCAGGCGGGGGUGUAAGUCAGCGGUCAAAUUCCGGGGCUCAACCCCGGCCUGCCGUUGAAACUGGAUGCCUUGAGAGGUCGAGAGGUAUGCGGAAUGCGUGGUGUAGCGGUGAAAUGCAUAGAUAUCGCGCAGAACUCCGAUUGCGAAGGCAGCAUACCGGCGCGCAACUGACGCUGAUGCACGAAAGCGUGGGUAUCGAACAGGAUUAGAUACCCUAGUAGUC